CAACAUUCAUUCACAGUCUGGAUCUCUCUUUCACACACCGAAGUAUAUGAUUUGUCUUUCUUCCCUUUUUCUCCUUAAUUUUAUUAAUCUUUAUUGUGGUCGUGCUCAUGCAUAUUCUUUUGGGUCGUGCAUAUUUAUUAUUCAUGACUGGUUCAGAGGACAAGCGACUCAAGCGCUUACUUAGAGCAUCAUUAACGCAGAUGCUUAAUGGGGUGCUUACUGAUUUUUUGUUUUAAAAGAAAAAAAAAAUAAGUAAUUAGACAAGCAGCGCAGCUUAAUUAAGCAUCAGAGGAAAGGGUGCUUAUAAGACACGUGUCACUUUUCCCCUGCUUCUCUCCACAUCUCUCUCGACGGCGACACCAACCCGAACCCUCUCAUCUUUCGUCUUCAGAUCAGCCAUGGAGGACGAGCUCUGUUUUUGGCCGGAGAUUGUAAAUGAGAAAAAAACUUCGUGCUGUUAGCAAAUCUCAAAAGGGUUUCUUGCUCCAAUAUGAUGAUGAUGGGGUCUAGUUUCUUUAUGGUCAUGAUCUUUGCAGCUCUCAUCAUGCCAUUGUAAUUGUGAAGAAACGAUGAAGUGUUUGUUUUCCAGUUUAAAGUUUGUUGCUUUUAACAAUGACUAGUGAUUUUUGGUUCAUCAGUGAAUUUUGUGUAGGAUGGUAUUUUUGGUUUUGAUAUGAUUGUAUAAUGCUGAUGAUGAUGAUGAUGGGUUUUGUUCAAGUUACUUGUUUUCUGUCGGAUAAAGAGUUUUGAGUUUGUUGUUGGCUCUUUCUUUUGCAGCAAAGUACACUGUUCGUUCUUUCUUUCGGUACCAGACGUAACGAGAAGAUUGCUUGCUACGUUACUGUCAAGGGAGACAAGGCAAUGCAGCACCUUGAGAGUGUCUCGCUCUUUCUAAAACAGAUGGAUAGAAGGAAGGACUCAUUCUCAACAAGUCUCGGAACAUUAUUCGUUAAAGGAAAGAUGUUUCAAAGAGAGACCUAUAAACUGUGCUUUAUUUCUGUUCCAGUAGUGUUUUAUCUGUUUUGUUUUGUUUUCUUCAUAAUGUUUAUUUUUUCAUCAUAAUUUUUAUCUUCUCAUCAAAAUGUUUCAUAAUUUUUUUCAAAGAACUCCUAAUUAAGCAACUUCCAUUGGAGCACAAAA